CUGAGCCCCCCAGGCGCCCCAGGAAUGGAGUUUUCAUAGCUGCUAUGACCUGGGUGAACUUUGAAAACAGUGGAGCGGCAGGACCCAAACACAAAAGGCCACAUACUGGAUGAUUCCAUUUAGAGGAAACGUCUAGAAGAGAUAAAUCCGUGGAGACGGAGAGUGGACUGAGGGAGGAAGAUGUGCUCUGAAGAGAGAAUUGAAUUCACGGCCCCCCAGGAGGCGGUAAGAAGGUCCCAGAAGAAGCCGCUGGAUAGGGCGUGGAGCCUGAAGAUGGGAACACAGAAAACUCAUUGGUGGUACUCUGGUCGGCGCUUUUGUAGGAUCUGCAUGGACAUGGGUCACCCAGGGGCACACAGGCGAGACCCCCGUCUGCCGGUGAAGGCUGUGUAGAAGAGGAAGGGGGUCCGGUGGCGGGAAGCCGGGUAGGGCUGAGAGCGGAGACCUGGUGUCCAGGCACCAGGCCGUGGGAGCCAGUCCCAGACAGAAGCUGUCGAUCUCUCCCGCAUGGAGCGCCUGGGGGUGCCCCUGGCAGAGGUGGGAGCUGUGUGCGGCCCGGUGCCCUCCUGAUGAAGGUGGGGCGGGUGCCUGAAUCUGGAAUGUCACGUGAAUGUCCUCUGAGAGCAAGCUGCGAUUGUCACCUUGUGAAGCGGUAAAGGCUUUAUCUGGAAUCAAUGGCACUGCGGCUGUGACCCUUCCGGAAGGACUGACCGAGGAGUUCCCGUCGGCUCCUAACCACCAGGAAGAAGCGGCUUGGCUGGAGUCCUCAGACCCUCCACGGACGAUACGUCUGGGAGGCGGAGUGAUGCCUUCCCCUAGGAGGUCCGCUUCCUAAUCCCUGGAGCCUGUGACAUGUGACCUCAUGGCAGACGGGCUUUGGAGCUGGGAUUAAGGAUCUUGAGGUGGAGAGAUGAUCCUGGAUUACCCAGCCGGCAGUUCUGGGGGGGAUUCCGGAGGCACAAGCAUGAACUUGGCACGUGUGAGAGGCCCGCUAGCCAGAGCUGUGACUUACUUGUUCUAGCUCCAGCCACGCCUCUGCCAGGAAGCCACCCCUGAUUCCUCCAGUUCACACCUGCCGCCCCUUCCCAGUGACCGUGAAUGAAAGGAGCAUGGCGGACAUUUCUGUGGCCCCAACCCCACGCUGAAGGCUUCAUGCUGGUAUCUCAUCGAUUCUACAUCUCACAGAGGGGAAACUGAGGCAUGGAGAGGUUGAGAAAGAGGAGGCGCGAGCCACCGCACCCUUCCCGGGCUUGGCUUGCACUCGGAGGGACACACGGGCUUUUCCAUAAAUAGCUUCAAAGGAAUUCCUGAGAGCAUGAACCAAAAAUGUCCCUGCACACCGCCGACGGGCCCCAACGCCCCUGCCCGGCCCAGACUUGCCUCCGCACCCAGCCCUGCGGGUGUCUCCUCUGGGCGGGGACGCUGGGGGUUGGGUCCCCUCCUCUCUGCCUUCUGAACCUCUCCAGCGCCGUCCCCUCUUCCCUGCUGCCCUGUCCCUGUCCCAACACCGCGGUUCUUGCCUACUUCGUGUCGCUCAGGGAUAACCUUUGACACCCUGUUUCGGGUUCUGAAACAUGACCCAGGCCGGAGCACGGGCCUGCUGAGACCCCUCGGGGUCUCUCCGGCAUGCGAGGGGAAGUCCGGACUCCUCGUGGUGGCACAUAAGGACACUCAUGGUCACUGGGCUCAUGUCCAACCUGCCUCAGGACCUUUGCACUUGUUGCCUCCUGUCUGAGAUGCCAUUUCCAUGGAUAUCCGUGCAGCUGGCUCUUUCUUCAUCCGAGUCUGUGCCCGUUGUCACCUCCCCAAAGAGGGUUUCCCCAGCCACCCUCGGCCACCCUCUGCUUAUUCUUCUUCCUUCAACCCUAGCUGAAAUCACAACAGGCAGAGUCUAGCAGAACUGACUGUCUUGGGCCGGCAGGUGCUGUGAUGAUGAUGAUUCACACCAGGCGGAUUCUGAGCUCUGUUCCGGAGCUCUGGCCGCGUGGGGGCCGCGGACAUCCACCCUGAACCCUCUGGAGCUGUUUAUUCCCUCUGGCAGGAAUGCGUCCUCGGAGCAGUGGGGACUAUAGGCAAAACGAGGGCCCGCCUGGGUCUUGGGGGGCCGAGCAGGGAGGCCUGGAGAGUCGCACGGAGUGGGCUUCGGUGCCCGUCGCUUCCGCGGGAUGGCUCUGGGCGGGUGACGGGCCUCUCCGAGCCUCGGUUUCUUCACCUGCGCAGUGGGCACGGGACUUGUUCAGCUGGUCGGGAGGCUCAGGACACGGUUUAUGUCUAUAAAGCACUUACUACGCGCCA